UUGUUGUGGAGGAGCCCUGGUUGGUGCAGACGAUGCCGGCUGUGUAUGGUGGUGUCGUCGUCCUUGUGCUCUUGAAGGAGGCACUAGUAUAACUUGAAGCCCUUAGCACUCGAUGUGGUGUAGGCGUGGAGGUGCCAGGCCUGGGCUCUGUUGUGGAGCAAUGGAGCCUCAGCUGCAGCGAGGGCUCCAACGGCGAGAUGUCCAGUGACUCCGGCCUGGGAAGAAACGACGUCCACGGCGACCACGUCUGCAACGACGUCU
rnacentral:lncRNA from 1 species